UACGUAGGGGGCAAGCGUUAUCCGGAAUCACUGGGUGUAAAGGGUGCGUAGGCGGUAAUGCAAGUCAGAUGUGAAACCCCUUGGCUCAACCAAGGGCUUGCAUUUGAAACUGUGUUACUAGAGUGCAGGAGAGGAAAGCGGAAUUCCUAGUGUAGCGGUGAAAUGCGUAGAUAUUAGGAAGAACACCAGUGGCGAAGGCGGCUUUCUGGACUGUAACAGACGCUGAGGCACGAAAGCGUGGGUAGCGAACAGG
rnacentral:rRNA from 1 species